GAUGAAGAACGCAGCGAAAUGCGAUACGUAAUGUGAAUUGCAGAAUUCAGUGAAUCAUCGAAUCUUUGAACGCACAUUGCACUCUCUGGUAUUCCGGAGAGUAUGCUUGUUUGAGUAUCAGUAAUCACCUCAAAUCUCUUGUUUCUUGUGAAUAAGAGAAUUGGACUUGAGCAAUCCCAACUCUUGCAAAAGAGGCGGGUUGCUUGAAAUGCAGGUGCAGCUGGACAUUCUUCUGAGCUAAAAGCAUAUUUAUUUUGUCCCGUAAAACGGAUUAUUACUUUUGCUGCAGCUAACAUAAAGGUUGAAUGGCCAAUAUGGCUGACUGAUGCAGGAUUAACAGAGAAUUUAUUCUUUGUAAACUCGAUCUCAAAUCAAGUAAGACUACCCGCUGAACUUAAGCAUAUCAAUAAGCGGAGGA
rnacentral:misc_RNA from 1 species